rnacentral:tRNA from 1 species
GGGGUCGUGGCUCAGUGGUAGAGCACUUGCCUAGCAUGUGUGAGACUGGGUUCGAUUCUCAGCACCACA